rnacentral:rRNA from 1 species
GCUCAUCACAGCGCGGGGGUGGAGAAGCUCCCAAGCGUUUGGCUGUUCGCCAAUUAAAGUGGUACGUGAGCUGGGUUCAGUACGUAAAUAACAUUGCGUAGUGCCGUAGAAAUAUGGUACAAUAGAACUGACUUAUAACGGUGAAACCCUAUUUUGUUGCCGUACAAUAAAAAGGGCAAUACCGUGGGAAGGUCAGUUUAUGCCUAAAAUUUCAGAGAAAAAGAAAGCCUAUAUCGCAGGAUUUUUAGACGGUGAUGGUUGUGUAAUGUAUCAAUUGAUUCGCAGAAAAGAUUAUCGUUAUGGUUUUGAAAUAAGAGCCAGUAUAGUUUUUUAUCAGAAAAGCCAAAAUUACAAACAUUUGGAAAGAUUGAAAAAUUUAUUGAAAGCAGGAUAUUUAAGAAAUCGGAAAGACGGAAUGACAGAAUACACGAUAGUAGGUUUAAAACCAGCGAUUGAAAUUCUGAAACUUUUGGAGCCAUACUGUAUGCUCAAAAAAGAGCAUAUAAAGACUGCCAAAAGGAUUAACAGAUUAUUAGAAGGACAAUUUAACUUAAGAAAAUUCGUUAAAGCGAGUGAAUUAGUUGAUAGAUUUAAAUUUCUGAAUUAUUCCAAGAAACGUAAAAAUACUUCGGAAAAACUGAAAAAUUAUUUAAAAAGGCAUAAGCUGUACCCCCGUAACGACUGAUUCGUUAUCAUCUUGUAAAAAGAUGGUAGCGAUGAGAUAGAAAAACCUUCUAUCAUACGUCAGCCCCCUGCACUUACCCGAGUUUUUGCGAAGGGUGGAGAUGAAUAUUUAUAUUCAUCGACUUCAAAAAAAGUGCGAGGUGAAGAUAUAGUCUAUACCAUAAGUAAUUAUGGACAAAUAUGCGUGAGACAGUACGGUCCCUAUCUACCGCAGGCGUCGAACCUUGAGGGGAGUUGGCCUUUGUACGAGAGGAUCAGGCUGAACCAACCUCUGGUGUACCAGCUGUUCUGCCAAGAGCAUUGCUGGGUAGCUAAGUUGGGAACUGAUAAGCGCUGAAAGCAUAUAAGCGCGAAGCAGACCCCAAGAUUAGGGUUCUUUAAGCUCGGUCGGAGACUACGACCUUGAUAGGGCACAGGUGUAAGUUCCGUAAGGAAUUGAGCCAAGUGCUACUAAUUGAGCAAUU